CCUACGGGAGGCAGCAGUGGGGAAUUUUGGACAAUGGGCGCAAGCCUGAUCCAGCAAUGCCGCGUGAGUGAAGAAGGCCUUCGGGUUGUAAAGCUCUUUUGUCAGGGAAGAAACGGUGGGGGCUAAUAUCUCCUACUAAUGACGGUACCUGAAGAAUAAGCACCGGCUAACUACGUGCCAGCAGCCGCGGUAAUACGUAGGGUGCAAGCGUUAAUCGGAAUUACUGGGCGUAAAGCGCGCGCAGGCGGUUUUGUAAGUCUGUCGUGAAAGCCCCGGGCUCAACCUGGGAAUUGCGAUGGAGACUGCAAGGCUUGAAUCUGGCAGAGGGGGGUAGAAUUCCACGUGUAGCAGUGAAAUGCGUAGAGAUGUGGAGGAACACCGAUGGCGAAGGCAGCCCCCUGGGUCAAGAUUGACGCUCAUGCACGAAAGCGUGGGGAGCAAACAGGAUUAGAUACCCUGGUAGUCCACGCCCUAAACGAUGUCUACUAGUUGUACGGUUUUAAUUAACGUUGGUAACGCAGCUAACGCGUAGAAGUAGACCGCGUGGGGAGUACGGUCGCAAGUAGUUAAAGCGACAAGUAGAAGUUAGUACGGCGUGAGACGUAGCCGACGGACGACGACGAGGGAGGUUAGG
rnacentral:rRNA from 1 species